rnacentral:rRNA from 1 species
UUGAACGCUGGCGGCAUGCCUUACACAUGCAAGUCGAACGGUAACAGGUCUUCGGAUGCUGACGAGUGGCGAACGGGUGAGUAAUACAUCGGAACGUGCCCGAUCGUGGGGGAUAACGCAGCGAAAGCUGUGCUAAUACCGCAUACGAUCUACGGAUGAAAGCAGGGGACCGCAAGGCCUUGCGCGGACGGAGCGGCCGAUGGCAGAUUAGGUAGUUGGUGGGAUAAAAGCUUACCAAGCCGACGAUCUGUAGCUGGUCUGAGAGGACGACCAGCCACACUGGGACUGAGACACGGCCCAGACUCCUACGGGAGGCAGCAGUGGGGAAUUUUGGACAAUGGGCGAAAGCCUGAUCCAGCCAUGCCGCGUGAGUGAAGAAGGCCUUCGGGUUGUAAAGCUCUUUCAGCCGGAAAGAAAUCGCGCAGGCUAAUACUCUGCGUGGAUGACGGUACCGGAAGAAGAAGCACCGGCUAACUACGU